UUCCAUUACGAUUGAAGGUUUUGGUGAAUUACAUCAAACUGAAGGGCAAAUACAUGUUUUAGGUUUCUUCUUUUUAAAAUCUACCGAACCAACAUAAACACAAAUCGACUAGAAUCUAAUCCCUUCUUCGUUGACACCAUCAAAAUCAUUAUUUGACGAACAAAGACAAAGGUCCUAGAUUAAUUUAGAGAAACAACAGAUGGGGAAUCAAAUUCAUAUUUGUUGAGCUCCACAAAACCCUUAAUUUUUUCAGUUCAUUAAUCCAAUUCAAUGUUGAUUCGAAGGGGAAAAAAUCACAUCAACUGUCACAUAGAAUCACCCCAACGGCUGGUGAAGAAAGGUUCCAAAGUUCUUGAUUAACUGGAAUGGACCUUCAAUUCAAGACUUUCCUUGAUGAUGCAAGCUCGACUUCUAUUCAUUACAGAAGCCUUAAUUUCCAAGAGUCAUUGAACAAGCUCGACAUCUAGACAUGAGAAACGAAAGGAAAAGUGAACCCACAAAGGUCGGAAAGAAACGAAAGUUUAAGGACCGAAAUAAAAGAGAAGCAGACUGUAGUGAGAUGGAUUCACUGCAACAUAAAGCUUUGGAUUCUCAUCCAUGUCGAAGUCCAAGAAAUUUCGAGCUAGUUCGACUUCGAGUGCUAGAGAAAGAAAAAGAAACGCAAUCUCAACAAAGAGAUGCUCACUUACAGCAGCGCAUAUUUCUUUACGGGUUAAAACAAGAUUCAAUGAUUGAAUUCGAAAGAGAAGUGCUUUUAGAAAAUUAUUGUAGUGCUUAUUUCAGUUGAAAAAAAAAAAGAAUUAGAUACGGACACACAACAGAAACAAGGUCACAACUCCCUACUACCACUCAAUGUUGAUGGCAAGACCCUGAAGUUACAGAGUGAACGAAAUGGCAGGCGCAUCGCAAGUGCGUGUUAUACUAGUAUAGAGAAGAGAAAGUAACUGUUAGACUGACAUACUAAAUGAUGAAGUAAUGCUAAUGCUAAACAGUGAAUGUUUCGCCAACAUUUCUCCAGCCUGCAACACUCGGGAGGGACAGAAACGUUUCAUCCUCGAUUUUGCAUCA